GAUGAGCGCUGGCGGCGUGCCUAAUACAUGCAAGUCGAGCGAACGGACGAGAAGCUUGCUUCUCUGAUGUUAUCGGCGGACGGGUGAGUAACACGUGGAUAACCUACCUAUAAGACUGGGAUAACUUCGGGAAACCGGAGCUAAUACCGGAUAAUAUUUUGAACCGCAUGGUUCAAAAGUGAAAGACGGUCUUGCUGUCACUUAUAGAUGGAUCCGCGCUGCAUUAGCUAGUUGGUAAGGUAACGGCUUACCAAGGCAACGAUGCAUAGCCGACCUGAGAGGGUGAUCGGCCACACUGGAACUGAGACACGGUCCAGACUCCUACGGGAGGCAGCAGUAGGGAAUCUUCCGCAAUGGGCGAAAGCCUGACGGAGCAACGCCGCGUGAGUGAUGAAGGUCUUCGGAUCGUAAAACUCUGUUAUUAGGGAAGAACAUAUGUGUAAGUAACUGUGCACAUCUUGACGGUACCUAAUCAGAAAGCCACGGCUAACUACGUG
rnacentral:rRNA from 1 species